AAUUCUUUUGACUUGCGGGCUUC
rnacentral:piRNA from 1 species